rnacentral:lncRNA from 1 species
CUGGGAGCAGUGACUGGCUACUCCAGACAUUAGGCUACAAAAUCAUUUGGAGCCUCUGGGAGCCUCUGCCAAAGAACUCACCAGCAGACACCUGGAAAAGCACUGAGGACCAAACCCAAGGCCUCAUGAUACUGGGCAAGAGCUCUACCACUGAGCAACACUCCCAGCCCCUCAAUAUUUAUUUAACACCAGGGCUCAGCAAGUAUUUAUAAGCAUCAGGAUGUAAAGGUCUGUACGUAGUUG